GAUGAACGCUGGCGGCGUGCUUAACACAUGCAAGUCGAACGAAGCAAUUUAACGGAAGUUUUCGGAUGGAAGUUAAAUUGACUGAGUGGCGGACGGGUGAGUAACGCGUGGGUAACCUGCCUCAUACAGGGGGAUAACAGUUAGAAAUGACUGCUAAUACCGCAUAAGCGCACAGGAUCGCAUGGUCUGGUGUGAAAAACUCCGGUGGUAUGAGAUGGACCCGCGUCUGAUUAGCUAGUUGGUGGGGUAACGGCCUACCAAGGCGACGAUCAGUAGCCGACCUGAGAGGGUGACCGGCCACAUUGGGACUGAGACACGGCCCAAACUCCUACGGGAGGCAGCAGUGGGGAAUAUUGCACAAUGGGCGAAAGCCUGAUGCAGCGACGCCGCGUGAGCGAAGAAGUAUUUCGGUAUGUAAAGCUCUAUCAGCAGGGAAGAAAAAGACGGUACCUGACUAAGAAGCACCGGCUAAAUACGUGCCAGCCGCCGCGGUAACAC
rnacentral:rRNA from 1 species